rnacentral:lncRNA from 1 species
CAGAAAGGGAAGAGGCAGGUUCUCUGCCAUCCCUUCCCUCCUACCUUCACGCAAGCUCCUUUCUGAGCAGCUGGGGGAGGCCCGCGUCAUUCAAAGAGUAAUCCUCUGCCAGGCUGGGGGAUGCGGGCUUCGAAUGGAUUCUUCUGCCCUGCAGUCCUGCUGGGGAAGGUGGUGGCGGGACCUCCCCAACUGCCUGCCACUUUCGCAUCGCUCUAGUUUAAAUUGCGACCUUCAAUUUCUCGCUUCUCAGGGACCACACCAAGUACUUUGCAUACAGUAUCCUCUUCAGUCCUCACUCUACUCGGUGAGCAACUCAUGCGCUCGUAGUUCACGUGCAGCCAUUUUUGUGGACAUGUUCCUGAUGGAUGAUGAGAACCUGUCGUGAAAUGGUGCACCAGGAGGAGAGAGGAGAGCCCGGAGUCCACACCUGCACCCUUUGCUUUGUGAAAUUCCAGACUGUUUCAUCCGCUCUACCUCAUCCUAAGAACUCCAGAUUCCACUUUUCUUAAUGACUUUCCCCUCCUUAAAAGCCUACACAGUUGUCUUUGAAGAAGUUAACUUUGAAGAAGGAGAAAAAGAAUAGAUGAAUCAUUUGCAGGAAACAGGGGGAGAGACGUGUGGUUGGAACAGCAGAUGGCUGAGCGUGUGGGCACAUAGCUGUCUCUGUGGUUCCUUCCACCACCCUCUGGAAAUGAAUCCUUUGGAAGUGUACACUCAUUCCAGGGUGGGGGCUGCACCCGCUUUCAGGUACUAACAUGUAAAUCCACAUCCGCUAGGAUUCUUCUCAGACAUCAAAACUCCGGGAGGGUGGGAAGGCCAGGCUCAGGCCCAGAUUGGACGAUUUAUCCUCUCCUUGAAGUUCUGACAUUAAACUUUUGAAAGAUAAAGUGAUAAACUACUUUCAAUUAGUGGUAACAGAAGUUCUCAUGCUGCCUUCUUGCUCCUGCAGGAUAUGAAAUGUAUGAAAUUCAUUUCAUCAACAGACUGUUUCAUCGAUUUUUUCCCACAGCCAUCACCACCGUCUGCCCUCCCUCCGCUAUGCCCAUAUCACAGGACCCUGUUGUGAGCACAUGAAUGUGCAGAAAGAUAAGCGCUUGUCAUUUUUUUAGGGCAGUAGCAGUUUUGGUAAAAUGCAGAUACGUUUCUUAGCA